rnacentral:lncRNA from 1 species
UUAUAUCUACUUUACGUGAGUCUGCAUUUAUGUAUGCCGUCAUACGACAAAAUUAUUUUUAUGUCUACCUGUACGAAUUUCAAACGCGCAAUUUUACACCAGUAAUGAAAACCUUCUAUCAUUUAUGGGUAGACUUUACAUAGAUAAAUUCAGCCGUAUUUGACGUGAAACUGUACUUAUGUAUCCCGUCAUACUUUGAACCACACCAUUAUUUUAUUUAUUAUUUUUACUGUAAGUCUGUUUUUUUGUUAUAUCUACUUUACGUGAGUCUGCAUUUAUGUAUGCCGUCAUACGACAAAAUUAUUUUUAUGUCUACCUGUGCGAAUUUCAAACGCGCAAUUUUACACCAGUAAUGAAAACCUUCUUUCAUUUAUGGGUAGACUUUACAUAGAUAAAUUCAGCCGUAUAGGAAAAGCAAAAUGAGAAUGUUGAAUUUGAUGUAUGCCUUUUUGUGC